rnacentral:ribozyme from 1 species
GAGAGGAAGAGAAAAGAAAGGAGGGUGAAAAAGAGGAAAACUUAUUAUUAGUUAUGCUACAUUUUUAAAAUUUCAUGAUAUCAUAUUUACAUAUUUUG